rnacentral:rRNA from 1 species
UACGAAGGGGGGCUAGCGUUGCUCGGAAUUACUGGGCGUAAAGCGCACGUAGGCGGCUUCGCAAGUCGGAUGUGAAAUCCCUCGGCUCAACCGAGGACGUGCAUACGAAACUGCGGAGCUUUGAGUGCUGAAGAGGAUCGCGGAAUUCCCGGUGUAGAGGUGAAAUUCGUAGAUAUCGGGAGGAACACCAGUGGCGAAGGCGGCGAUCUGGGCAGACACUGACGCUGAGGUGCGAAAGCGUGGGGAGCGAACAGG